rnacentral:rRNA from 2 species
UGGGGAAUAUUGCACAAUGGGCGAAAGCCUGAUGCAGCGACGCCGCGUGAGGGAUGACGGCCUUCGGGUUGUAAACCUCUUUCAGCAGGGACGAAGCGAGAGUGACGGUACCUGCAGAAGAAGCACCGGCCAACUACGUGCCAGCAGCCGCGGUAAUACGUAGGGUGCGAGCGUUGUCCGGAAUUACUGGGCGUAAAGAGCUCGUAGGCGGUUUGUCGCGUCGUCCGUGAAAACUUGGGGCUCAACCCCAAGCUUGCGGGCGAUACGGGCAGACUUGAGUACUGCAGGGGAGACUGGAAUUCCUGGUGUAGCGGUGAAAUGCGCAGAUAUCAGGAGGAACACCGGUGGCGAAGGCGGGUAACUGGACUGCAACUGACGCUGAGGCGCGAAAGUGUGGGGAGCAAACAGG